CAUGUUGCACAUCACUGGAAACACCUCGUAGAGUAACUGUGGUUUUGCUUCACUCACCGGACUCUCUUAGGUCUGUGGGAAGUAACUUUAAGACAGUU
rnacentral:snoRNA from 1 species